CAGCUUGCUGCGGGUACUCGAGUGGCGAACGGGUGAGUAACACGUGGGUGAUCUGCCUUGCACCUUCGGGAUAAGCUUGGGAAACUGGGUCUAAUACCGGAUAGGACAGCUGUUUAGUGUCAGUUGUGGAAAGUUUUUUCGGUGCAAGAUGAGCUCGCGGCCUAUCAGCUUGUUGGUGGGGUAAUGGCCUACCAAGGCGUCGACGGGUAGCCGGCCUGAGAGGGUGUACGGCCACAUUGGGACUGAGAUACGGCCCAGACUCCUACGGGAGGCAGCAGUGGGGAAUAUUGCACAAUGGGCGGAAGCCUGAUGCAGCGACGCCGCGUGGGGGAUGAAGGCCUUCGGGUUGUAAACUCCUUUCGACAGGGACGAAGCGUAAGUGACGGUACCUGUAUAAGAAGCACCGGCUAACUACGUGCCAGCAGCCGCGGUAAUACGUAGGGUGCGAGCGUUGUCCGGAAUUACUGGGCGUAAAGAGCUCGUAGGUGGUUUGUCGCGUCGUCUGUGAAAUUCCGGGGCUUAACUCCGGGCGUGCAGGCGAUACGGGCUGACUUGAGUGCUGUAGGGGAGACUGGAAUUCCUGGUGUAGCGGUGAAAUGCGCAGAUAUCAGGAGGAACACCGAUGGCGAAGGCAGGUCUCUGGGCAGUAACUGACGCUGAGGAGCGAAAGCAUGGGUAGCGAACAGGAUUAGAUACCCUGGUAGUCCAUGCCGUAAACGGUGGGCGCUAGGUGUAGGGGGCUUCCACGUCUUCUGUGCCGUAGCUAACGCAUUAAGCGCCCCGCCUGGGGAGUAC
rnacentral:rRNA from 1 species